UUCACACCUGCCUCUCUGGGAAGGAGCCCCGUUUCUCAGGGGACACAACAGAGAAUGUGCUGGAUUGUCUUGGAAAGGUCGUGUUGGCUCUCUCACAACCUCUCAACUCUGCUCUGCAAUGCACAAGCAGCCAGAGAUAAUGCAUGCAAGACUGUGCUCCAAGACAACUGUGUUUACAAAGACAGGAGGCAGCCAGGUUUGUCCCUCAAGCUGUCACAUGUCGGCCUGCGACGUAUGGAAAACAAUGGUCAAAACAAAUGAAGAGCAGCCAUGUGAUGAAUGUCAGCAAUCAAAUAUUUAGUGAAAAAGUACAAUUGCUCACUACAUGUUACUCUUUCCGAAAGUUAAAAACUGCACCAAUCCAACAGUAUAACACAUGAAUACAUAUUUAGAAAUACACAUAAAUGGAAUAAAAGUACAUACGAGGGAAGAAUGAACACUGCACUCAGGCAGAGUUUGCCCUUGGGGGAAUGGAGAAAUCAGGGGGUGGGUUAGACAGGACCAUGUUCUUAGACAGAUGUCAUGAUCAAGACCCUAGCAGGGACUUAGGGAAGUGUGUUUAUGGGCUCUUCUUAGAUUACUGCAGAAUGAUGGAUCCUGUUCUUUGUACUUGAGAUGCACCAAAAAGAGAAAGAAA
rnacentral:lncRNA from 1 species